AUGGCCUUCCUUCCUUGCCUCAAUGGACGCGGGGGCCGAGCUCGCCGCCCUGCCGCGUCGCCGGGGACGCCGGGCACCACAGCCUGCUGGGCCUCCCCUGCAUCAUUCUCGCCGAAGCGCUCCACCACCAUGCGCCGCACGCCCAACCUCCCGCUCGCGCCUGCGUCCCUCCAUCAUCGACGAGGACCACCUCUGGCCUCCACGUCCUCUGUUUCGCCUCCUCACAACCCUGCCGCCCCAGCGACCUCGCCGCCGGCGACUGAACCGCAUGCAUCAGAGGCCAUGGACGUCGCCGCCCCUUGGGAGGCCGCUGCCGUCGCUACGGAACCUCCCCAACGCCUAGCUCUUCCUUGCUGCCGCCCCAUGGAGUUCCAUCGGCCCAGAUCUGGCCGGGAACCAGACGAGCCCCGUGCCUAUUGCUGUCGUUGUUUUCACUCUGUCAAACGAACGCAACACCUUCACCGGAGACCGCCAGGACCGUCAAGGAUUCGCCAAGUACAACGCCGUCGGAGCCCCUCCAAGUUUGAUGUUGGAACGUGUACGACCAUGCGGAUUCGCCAAGUACCACGACGUCGACGACCGUCAAGUUCAACUACUUUGACUACGAACGGUGAUGAUCCCGAACAUCUACGGACGUGUACGACUAUCGUUGCCGUAGAACCGUGGGUCACAAGCGCAGUGAACAACUACCGUCGCCGAAGACCUAUGAACCUAAAACUUCAAGUUCGACUACCGUCAAAAGGACGAGACAAGUCGCCGAAGACCCCAAGUACCUCCACGAUGACCCGAACAUCUACAGAAAAACGUGUACCUCUACUGUUGCCAUGUACCCCUACUUCCACUACGAAUGUCCCGAGAACGUCUACUUCCCCUACACCGCAUCGAACUUGUUCCGUUCCGACAACACACGCUUCGAAGGUAUAA
rnacentral:rRNA from 1 species